UACGUAGGUGGCGAGCGUUGUCCGGAUUUACUGGGCGUAAAGAGCGCGCAGGCGGUCGUUCAAGUCGCGUGUGAAAGCCCCCGGCUCAACUGGGGAGGGUCACGCGAUACUGAUCGACUCGAAGGCAGGAGAGGGAAGUGGAAUUCCCGGUGUAGUGGUGAAAUGCGUAGAUAUCGGGAGGAACACCAGUGGCGAAGGCGGUUCUCUGGGCAUGUCCUGACGCUGAGGAGCGAAAGUGUGGGGAGCGAACAGG
rnacentral:rRNA from 1 species